UUAAGGUUACAAGAGCGCAAUUAUUUGUUUACAUUUAACCGGCAAGUUUUUUACCCCAAGAUGGUACUCAGAAUAGAAUCCUAUACGGCUUCUGAUUGGUUGAUACAGGAUUGGAAUUACAUUUAAUCGAAAGCUUAUCCAAUUAGGUUUAAAAAUUGCCGAAAAUCAUAUUCAUAUUUUACAAAGUAUAGAAAAUAUCUUUAAUUUCUGCACGUCGGAGCCAUUAAAAAUAUGCCUUUUUCAUUAAGCGAAAAAAGUAGACGAUCUUUUUCAACUGCAUUUUAAGUCAAUUUGAGCCGCAUGACCCUAUAUUUUUUUGUUGUUGUAAUGCAACACUGGCAUUUCUAGUAACAGGAACUGUCACCCGUUUUUCACUAGUUUGUGUAGUCUUUGAGAAAAAAAAUACGGAACACUAGUGGUAC
rnacentral:lncRNA from 1 species